GACAGAGGGUGCAAGCGUUGUUCGGAAUUACUGGGCGUAAAGCGCACGUAGGCGGCUUUACAAGUCAGGGGUGAAAGCCCGCGGCUCAACCGCGGAAUUGCCCUUGAGACUGUAUCGCUUGAACACGGGAGAGGUGAGUGGAAUUCCGAGUGUAGAGGUGAAAUUCGUAGAUAUUCGGAAGAACACCAGUGGCGAAGGCGGCUCACUGGACAGUAGUUGACGCUGAGGUGCGAAGGCGUGGGGAGCAAACAGG
rnacentral:rRNA from 1 species